rnacentral:rRNA from 2 species
GGGUUGUGAGGUUAAGCGACUAAGCGUACACGGUGGAUGCCUUGGCAGUCAGAGGCGAUGAAGGGCGUGCUAAUCUGCGAUAAGCGCCGGUAAGGUGAUAUGAACCGUUAUAACCGGCGAUACCCGAAUGGGGAAACCCAGUGUGACUCGUCACACUAUCAUUAACUGAAUCCAUAGGUUAAUGAGGCGAACCGGGGGAACUGAAACAUCUAAGUACCCCGAGGAAAAGAAAUCAACCGAGAUUCCCCCAGUAGCGGCGAGCGAACGGGGAGGAGCCCAGAGCCUGAAUCAGCAUGUGUGUUAGUGGAAGCGUCUGGAAAGGCGCGCGAUACAGGGUGACAGCCCCGUACACAAAAGCGCAUGUGCUGUGAGCUCGAUGAGUAGGGCGGGACACGUGGUAUCCUGUCUGAAUAUGGGGGACCAUCCUCCAAGGCUAAAUACUCCUGACUGACCGAUAGUGAACCAGUACCGUGAGGGAAAGGCGAAAAGAACCCCGGCGAGGGGAGUGAAAAAGAACCUGAAACCGUGUACGUACAAGCAGUGGGAGCCCCACCACUAAGCCAGUGGUGAACUCCACAUCCGCAUCCUUUGCUGAGGAUACGGUUAACGGAGCGAAAGCGACGUUCAACCGCAAAACAAGCAGAGGGGGCUUAGUGGUGGGGUGACUGCGUACCUUUUGUAUAAUGGGUCAGCGACUUAUAUUCUGUAGCAAGGUUAACCGAAUAGGGGAGCCGGAGGGAAACCGAGUCUUAAUUGGGCGUUAAGUUGCAGGGUAUAGACCCGAAACCCGGUGAUCUAGCCAUGGGCAGGUUGAAGGUUGGGUAACACUAACUGGAGGACCGAACCGACUAAUGUUGAAAAAUUAGCGGAUGACCUGUGGCUGGGGGUGAAAGGCCAAUCAAACCGGGAGAUAGCUGGUUCUCCCCGAAAGCUAUUUAGGUAGCGCCUCGUGAAUUCAUCUCCGGGGGUAGAGCACUGUUUCGGCUAGGGGGCCAUCCCGGCUUACCAACCCGAUGCAAACUGCGAAUACCGGAGAAUGUUAUCACGGGAGACACACGGCGGGUGCUAACGUCCGUCGUGAAGAGGGAAACAACCCAGACCGCCAGCUAAGGUCCCAAAGUCAUGGUUAAGUGGGAAACGAUGUGGGAAGGCCCAGACAGCCAGGAUGUUGGCUUAGAAGCAGCCAUCAUUUAAAGAAAGCGUAAUAGCUCACUGGUCGAGUCGGCCUGCGCGGAAGAUGUAACGGGGCUAAACCAUGCACCGAAGCUGCGGCAGCGACGCUGAUGCGUUGUUGGGUAGGGGAGCGUUCUGUAAGCCUGCGAAGGUGACCUGUGAGGGUUGCUGGAGGUAUCAGAAGUGCGAAUGCUGACAUAAGUAACGAUAAAGCGGGUGAAAAGCCCGCUCGCCGGAAGACCAAGGGUUCCUGUCCAACGUUAAUCGGGGCAGGGUGAGUCGACCCCUAAGGCGAGGCCGAAAGGCGUAGUUGAUGGGAAACGGGUUAAUAUUCCCGUACUUGGUGUUACUGCGAAGGGGGGACGGAGAAGGCUAUGUUGGCCGGGCGACGGUUGUCCCGGUUUAAGCGUGUAGGUGUGUGUUCCAGGUAAAUCCGGUUCACUUUAACACUGAGGCGUGAUGACGAGGCACUACGGUGCUGAAGCAACAAAUGCCCUGCUUCCAGGAAAAGCCUCUAAGCAUCAGGUAACAUCAAAUCGUACCCCAAACCGACACAGGUGGUCAGGUAGAGAAUACCAAGGCGCUUGAGAGAACUCGGGUGAAGGAACUAGGCAAAAUGGUGCCGUAACUUCGGGAGAAGGCACGCUGACACGUAGGUGAAGUGAUUUACUCAUGGAGCUGAAGUCAGUCGAAGAUACCAGCUGGCUGCAACUGUUUAUUAAAAACACAGCACUGUGCAAACACGAAAGUGGACGUAUACGGUGUGACGCCUGCCCGGUGCCGGAAGGUUAAUUGAUGGGGUCAGCGCAAGCGAAGCUCCUGAUCGAAGCCCCGGUAAACGGCGGCCGUAACUAUAACGGUCCUAAGGUAGCGAAAUUCCUUGUCGGGUAAGUUCCGACCUGCACGAAUGGCGUAAUGAUGGCCAGGCUGUCUCCACCCGAGACUCAGUGAAAUUGAACUCGCUGUGAAGAUGCAGUGUACCCGCGGCAAGACGGAAAGACCCCGUGAACCUUUACUAUAGCUUGACACUGAACAUUGAGCCUUGAUGUGUAGGAUAGGUGGGAGGCUUUGAAGUGUGGACGCCAGUCUGCAUGGAGCCGACCUUGAAAUACCACCCUUUAAUGUUUGAUGUUCUAACGUGGACCCGUAAUCCGGGUUGCGGACAGUGUCUGGUGGGUAGUUUGACUGGGGCGGUCUCCUCCUAAAGAGUAACGGAGGAGCACGAAGGUUGGCUAAUCCUGGUCGGACAUCAGGAGGUUAGUGCAAUGGCAUAAGCCAGCUUGACUGCGAGCGUGACGGCGCGAGCAGGUGCGAAAGCAGGUCAUAGUGAUCCGGUGGUUCUGAAUGGAAGGGCCAUCGCUCAACGGAUAAAAGGUACUCCGGGGAUAACAGGCUGAUACCGCCCAAGAGUUCAUAUCGACGGCGGUGUUUGGCACCUCGAUGUCGGCUCAUCACAUCCUGGGGCUGAAGUAGGUCCCAAGGGUAUGGCUGUUCGCCAUUUAAAGUGGUACGCGAGCUGGGUUUAGAACGUCGUGAGACAGUUCGGUCCCUAUCUGCCGUGGGCGCUGGAGAACUGAGGGGGGCUGCUCCUAGUACGAGAGGACCGGAGUGGACGCAUCACUGGUGUUCGGGUUGUCAUGCCAAUGGCACUGCCCGGUAGCUAAAUGCGGAAGAGAUAAGUGCUGAAAGCAUCUAAGCACGAAACUUGCCCCGAGAUGAGUUCUCCCUGAGACUUUAGGUCUCCUGAAGGAACGUUGAAGACGACGACGUUGAUAGGCCGGGUGUGUAAGCGCAGCGAUGCGUUGAGCUAACCGGUACUAAUGAACCGUGAGGCUUAACCUUACAACGCCGAAG